rnacentral:rRNA from 1 species
GACGAACGCUGGCGGCGUGCCUAAUACAUGCAAGUCGAACGCAGUGGGGACGGGUGAGUAACACGUGGGUCACCUUCCAUCAGACAGGAUAACACUUGGAAACAGGUCCUAAACUGAUACUGAUGGAUGGACCCGCGGUGCAUUAGCUAGUUGGUGAGGUUACGGCUCACCAAGGCCACUAUGCAUAGCCGACCUGGGAUGGAGAUCGUCCACACUGGGACUAAGACGCGGCCCACACCCCUACGGGAAGCAGCAGUAGGGAGUCUUCGGCAAUGGACGAAAGUCUGACCGAGCAACGCCGCGUGAGUGAAGAAGGUUUUCGGAUCGUAAGACUCUGUUGUUAGGGAAGCGGUAGCUAACCAGAAAGCCACGGCUAACGACGUGCCAGCCGACGCGGUAAUAC